rnacentral:rRNA from 1 species
AUUGAACGCUGGCGGAAUGCUUUACACAUGCAAGUCGAACGGCAGCACGGGAGCUUGCUCCUGGUGGCGAGUGGCGAACGGGUGAGUAAUGCGUCGGAACGUACCGAGUAAUGGGGGAUAACGCAGCGAAAGCUGUGCUAAUACCGCAUACGCCCUGAGGGGGAAAGUGGGGGAUCGCAAGACCUCACGUUAUUCGAGCGGCCGACGUCUGAUUAGCUAGUUGGUGGGGUAAAGGCCUACCAAGGCGACGAUCAGUAGCGGGUCUGAGAGGAUGAUCCGCCACACUGGAACUGAGACACGGUCCAGACUCCUACGGGAGGCAGCAGUGGGGAAUUUUGGACAAUGGGGGCGAACCCUGAUCCAGCCAUUCCGCGUGAGUGAAGAAGGCCUCGG